rnacentral:rRNA from 1 species
GUGCCUAACACAUGCAAGUCGAACGAGAAAGUCCGCAAGGAUGAGUACAGUGGCGACCGGGUGAGUAACACGUGACUAACCUACCUCUUAGUGGGGGAUAACUCCGGGAAACCGGAGCUAAUACCGCAUAACAUCGCAAGAUCAAAGCCGAAAGGCGCUGGGAGAGGGGGUCGCGGCUGAUUAGCUAGUUGGUAGGGUAACGGCCUACCAAGGCGAAGAUCGGUAUCCGGCCUGAGAGGGCGCACGGACACACUGGAACUGAAACACGGUCCAG